CUUGGUGACUGGAGCGACAGUGGUACACCCGGUAACAUCCCGAACCCGGNNGCGCCGAUGGUACUUGGAGGGCGACCCCCUGGGAGAGUAGGUCGUUGCCAAGA
rnacentral:rRNA from 1 species